GAGAAGGGAAGUAGCAUACUUUGUUCUAUUUUUUACUCUCAAUGGGCUACGUUUCCAUUGUGUUGGUUUCCCUUACAGAAAGUAACACACACAGAAGAGAAGGUUAUAGGAUUCCAUGCUGCUUGGCAAAGGCACAAAAUAUGUGCACAUAUUUACAUGGAAUAUGAGGGUAAACUAGAAAAUUAAGGGUAAUCUAAAAUAGAAAAAAAGAAGAAAACAAUAAGUUAAAAGUAUGAAAAGACAUCCAGAAUGAGCAAGUUACUGAGGUUGUGCCUCAACUUUAGCUUGAGUUUCCUGGCAGCAAAGGUAAAAAGGUGAUCUUACAGCUGGAAAAUCAGUGGGUGAAAACGGAGAUACAGCAACUCUCCUCCAAGGUAUGCCUCGGAGAGAAGCAUUUUAAAUCUUCUGAAACGAGAUGCAGACAGACAAAACGAAACAGGACAAAGACGUCACUGAGGGCACUGCCAACACUUCUGGAGCUUGUCCUGAAGAGCCAUUCGUGUGCUUGGACUGAUCUCCCGUCUUGUGCUCUUGGCAUUGGUGCAGGAUCCUGCAUGUACAUUUGCAGGUGCGAGCUUGUGCACGCGAACAUGUGUGCUGCUUCCUCUCACGAACCCAGCAGCAUAGCAGCAGCCAGAGACGCCCCAGAGUGAUGACAACUAAUUAUGAAACACCAGUCUGAUCUGUCCCUUUUAUCUCAUCUUGCAGAAGCCUUGCAUUCCCCC
rnacentral:lncRNA from 1 species